rnacentral:rRNA from 1 species
GAUGAACGCUGGCGGCGUGCCUAAUACAUGCGAGUCGAGCGAACGGACGAGAAGCUUGCUUUUCUGAUGUUAGCGGCGGACGGGUGAGUAACACGUGGAUAACCUACCUAUAAGACUGGGAUAACUUCGGGAAACCGGAGCUAAUACCGGAUAAUAUUUUGAACCGCAUGGUUCAAAAGUGAAAGACGGUCUUGCUGUCACUUAUAGAUGGAUCCGCGCUGCAUUAGCUAGUUGGUAAGGUAACGGCUUACCAAGGCAACGAUGCAUAGCCGACCUGAGAGGGUGAUCGGCCACACUGGAACUGAGACACGGUCCAGACUCCUACGGGAGGCAGUAGUAGGGAAUCUUCCGCAAUGGGCGAAAGCCUGACGGAGCAACGCCGCGUGAGUGAUGAAGGUCUUCGGAUCGUAAUACUCUGUUAUUAGGGAAGAACAUAUGUGUAAGUAACUGUGCACAUCUUGACGGUACCUAAUCAGAAAGCCACGGCUAACUACGUG